rnacentral:rRNA from 1 species
GACGAACGCUGGCGGCGUGCCUAAUACAUGCAAGUCGAACGCUGAAGGAGGAGCUUGCUUCUCCGGAUGAGUUGCGAACGGGUGAGUAACGCGUAGGUAACCUGCCUGGUAGCGGGGGAUAACUAUUGGAAACGAUAGCUAAUACCGCAUAACAGUAGAUGUUGCAUGACAUUUGCUUAAAAGGUGCAAUUGCAUCACUACCAGAUGGACCUGCGUUGUAUUAGCUAGUUGGUGAGGUAACGGCUCACCAAGGCGACGAUACAUAGCCGACCUGAGAGGGUGAGCGGCCACACUGGGACUGAGACACGGCCCAGACUCCUACGGGAGGCAGCAGUAGGGAAUCUUCGGCAAUGGACGGAAGUCUGACCGAGCAACGCCGCGUGAGUGAAGAAGGUUUUCGGAUCGUAAAGCUCUGUUGUAAGAGAAGAACGAGUGUGAGAGUGGAAAGUUCACACUGUGACGGUAUCUUACCAGAAAGGGACGGCUAACUACGUG